rnacentral:rRNA from 1 species
CGAAGGAUGCAAGCGUUAUCCGGAUUCAUUGGGUUUAAAGGGAGCGUAGGCGGCCUUAUAAGUCAGUGGUGAAAUCUUUGGGCUUAACCCAAAAAUUGCCAUUGAUACUGUAGGGCUUGAGUACAGUUGCUGUGGGCGGAAUAUGACAUGUAGUGGUGAAAUACAUAGAGAUGUCAUAGAACACCGAUUGCGAAGGCAGCUCACAAAACUGUAACUGACGCUGAGGCUCGAAAGUGCGGGGAUCAAACAGGAUUAGAUACCCUGGUAGUCCGCACUGUAAACGAUGAUUACUCGCUGCUGGAAGGUAACUUUCAGUGGCUUAGCGAAAGCGAUAAGUAAUCCACCUGGGGAGUACGCCGGCAACGGUG